GAUGAACGCUGGCGGCGUGCCUAAUACAUGCAAGUCGAGCGAACGGACGAGAAGCUUGCUUUUCUGAUGUUAGCGGCGGACGGGUGAGUAACACGUGGAUAACCUACCUAUAAGACUGGGAUAACUUCGGGAAACCGGAGCUAAUACCGGAUAAUAUUUUGAACCGCAUGGUUCAAAAGUGAAAGACGGUCUUGCUGUCACUUAUAGAUGGAUCCGCGCUGCAUUAGCUAGUUGGUAAGGUAACGGCUUACCAAGGCAACGAUGCAUAGCCGACCUGAGAGGGUGAUCGGCCACACUGACACUGAGACUCGGUCCAGACUCCUACGGGGGGCAGCAGUAGGGACUCUUCCGCAAUGGGCGAAUGCCUGACGGAGCAACGCCGCGUGAGUGCUGAAGGUCUUCGGAUCGUAAAACUCUGUUAUUAGGGAAGAACAUAUGUGUAAGUAACUGUGCACAUCUUGACGGUACCUAAUCAGAAAGCCACGGCUAACUACGUG
rnacentral:rRNA from 1 species